GCCGGUGGGCAGCUGUAGUCUUAGCUACUCUGGAGGCCGAGGCAGGAGGAUUGCUUGAUUCCAGGAGUUGGAGGCCAGCUUGGACAACAUAGCAAGACUCUGUUUCAA
rnacentral:sRNA from 1 species